GACGCCGACGUGGGGCAUGAUGGGAGAAUACUCUGGUUAACGCUGGCGCGGAACUUAAUUUAUGGACACCAAAGGGCUGAGACACUCCGUUUUAAGGUUGGAAGAUGGUUCGGUGAUCAAGAGCACGGCUGCUCUUCUGGAGGACGCAGGUUUGAUUUCUAGCACUCACAACUGCUCACAACCGGUUGCAACUUCAGUUCCAUGGGAUCCUAACUCUCUUGAUCUUUGUGGGCUUUGCAUGCGUGUGGUGAAAAAAAGUGUGUGUGUGUUUGUGUGUGUGCAGGGAAAUAAAGAAAUACAAUAACAACCAUGGUCUUAGUCCUGGAAACUCAGGAGGGAGAAGCAGGCAGUUCUCAGUGAGUUCCAAGUCAGGCACAGCUACAUAAGAGACUGUCUCAACAUAAAUAAAUAAAUAAAUUAUUAAUUAGAAAACAAUUGAUGCUUGGUAAUAUGUAUUGUUAGGUUAUGGACCCUGGGACAAGGGACUGAGGUGCAAAUUUUAUAUUUCAAGGCAGCCCUGGCCUCCAUGUUCUCUCAGCAUCCCUAGUCCCUACCUGGCAUACCCUUGCUGCGACCCUGAACUUUCCAGCCAGGGGCUGGGCUACCCUUCCCCCAGAGGCUCUUCCCUAUAUAAACCAGAUGUUUUGGUCUUCUUCAUCUCUUCUCCUGUCUUCUCUCUGUGUGUCCACACCCUUUCUCUUUUUCUCUUCUCCCCCACCAUGGUGACUUCCUUGGCCUCAGUC
rnacentral:lncRNA from 1 species